UGGCUCAGAUUGAACGCUGGCGGCAGGCCUAACACAUGCAAGUCGAACGGUAGCAGGAAGUGCUUGCACUUCGCUGACGAGUGGCGGACGGGUGAGUAAUGCUUGGGAACUUGCCUUUGCGAGGGGGAUAACAGUUGGAAACGACUGCUAAUACCGCAUAAUGUCUACGGACCAAACGGGGCUUAGGCUUCGGCGCAGAGAGAGGCCCAAGUGAGAUUAGCUAGUUGGUGGGGUAAAGGCUCACCAAGGCAACGAUCUCUAGCUGUUCUGAGAGGAAGAUCAGCCACACUGGGACUGAGACACGGCCCAGACUCCUACGGGAGGCAGCAGUGGGGAAUAUUGCACAAUGGGGGAAACCCUGAUGCAGCCAUGCCGCGUGUGUGAAGAAGGCCUUCGGGUUGUAAAGCACUUUCAGUUGUGAGGAAAAGUGAGUAGUUAAUACC
rnacentral:rRNA from 1 species